GAUGAAGAACGCAGCGAAAUGCGAUAAGUAAUGUGAAUUGCAGAAUUCAGUGAAUCAUCGAAUCUUUGAACGCACCUUGCGCUCCUUGGUAUUCCGAGGAGCAUGCCUGUUUGAGUGUCAUGAAAUUCUCAACCUUUUCAGCUUUCUUUGUUGAUCAGGCUUGGAUGUGGGAGUAUGCGGGCUUCUCAGAAGUCGGCUCUCCUGAAAUGCAUUAGCGGGACCUUUGUUGCCUGGCUUUGGUGUGAUAAUUAUCUACGCCAUUGUAGUCAAGCAGCUUAAAAUGAGGUUUCAGCUUCUAACCGUCUCCCCUGAGACAACUUUUUGACAAUUUGACCUCAAAUCAGGUAGGACUACCCGCUGAACUUAAGCAUAUCAAUAAGCGGAGA
rnacentral:misc_RNA from 1 species